UUUGUUCAGUCGGUGCGAUAACGACGAGCACACAUUCCACACUUUCGGCUUGUGUUAUUCGUUGUUGCAAGUUCGGUACAACGUGUUAUAUUUUCUAAAUCGCUGGUGAUAAUUAGUGUUAAUAAACGUGUUUGAUCUUUUAAUGUAAUCUUCGUAAUAAUUAAUUGACUUGUGAAAAACAUUUGUCAUCAACAGAGGAGCAUGGAUCAUUGUGCUUCCAGUAUUCGCCAACUUGUCGUCGGUAUACCAUCUUCCAUAACCGGGAUUUUGCUCCUGAGUCUUACAUCGUACAAGGACCAUUCUUUCUUUAGAUUGGAUUUUGCACCUGAGUCUUACAUCGUAGAAGGACCAUUUUUGCAUCAGAUUGGAUUUUGCACCUGAGUCUGACAUCGUAGAAGGACCAUUCUGGUAUCAGAUUGGAUUUUGCACCUGAGUCUGACAUUGUAGAAGGACCAUUCUUGCAUCAGAUUGGAUUUUGCACCUGAGUCUGACAUCGUAGAAGGACCAUUCUUGCAUCAGAUUGUAAGUAUUAAAUUUCUUUAUCAUUUUCCUAAAUAACUUUUGUGAUUAUCUCACAAAUUGACCCCCAAAAUUGCAUUUUUAUGUUCAAAUAACUAAUUUUUGAUGGUUUUAGGGAUUUUGCACCUGAGUCUGACAUCGUAGAAGGACCAUUCUUGCAUCAGAUUGGAUUUUGCACCUGAGUCUGACAUCGUAGAAGGACCAUUCUUGCAUCAUAUUGUUAAUAUUUAAUUUCUUUAUUAUUAUCUUAAAUAACUUUUGUGAUUAUUACACAAAUGUACUUCCAAAAUUUAUACUCGUGUGUUUUCUUUAAUAAAUAAUAUUUUUUAAGUA